CGCUCUGUCCUCGCUGUGCCCCCGCGGUCGCCUAGGGUGCCGCUGCCCCGUUCACAUGAGGCGACCUGCCGCAGCCCUGAGGAGCCGGCUCGGUCUGAGCCCCCUGUCUGGUGACAGCCGGCAUCGCUUCAUGUGGUAAAGGUGUGGCUGCUGCGGAACCUUCACCCUCAGCCCUGGGGUUCCCUUAGAGGGGAGGAGGCGCGGGUGAACGAGGCUGAGGCAAAACUUCUGCCAGUCGCCCUCCAAGCCGCUCAGCGGCGCACGGAGAGCGGAGCGUCUGUCCCGGGUCACGGCCGUCCCGUCCCGCCGACCCGGCUGUUCCCGCCGCUCCCUUCGCUCUCCCCACAGAACUUUCCCGCGCACGUGCGAAGCGCGGCGCUCUGAGGCGGUGACGGGCGGGAAGCGAAGCCCGGCCGGGGCCGGUCGUGCUGUAACUGCCUCACGUUAUCGGCGGGGCUCUCAGCUGAUGUUUGUCGUUCGUCUGUGCUUUAAUGAAAUGUCAGUACGUGUGCCCGCACGCACACGUGGGUAGCCGUCGUUAUUGGCUAUUUAUGUUCCGUUUAUGCUCUGUCUUGCAUAGUUUUGUUUGCUGGACUUGAAUAUUUAUUGUAUACGUCUCUAAUUACCUCUCGUUUGGUUUUUUGUCUGCUGCCCCAUUUACAUUUUGAAUUAUAUAUAUAUAUAUGUAUAUAUACCUGCGUUAAUUUCUGUGCUCUUCUUUAAGUUCAUCUUUGCCACCUUUUCACCUACAUUCUCUUUUUUUUUUUGUACCUCCAAAAAAGUUAUAUGUAUUGAAGAUGACGUUACACACCUUAUCCUGUUCAUCAUCAUAGUCUUUGCUUAGUAUCGCAGUUUCUUUGUCAUGCAGUCAUUAAGGUUGGAAAAGACCACUAAGAUGGUCCAUCCCAACCACAGUGUGUUUCCUAAGCUUCCCUGCACUCCCCAGCCAGCUCAUUGCUGCUGCUGAAUAUACCCUCAGUCACCUUCUGGCAGCAGUAAGGUCCUCAGAAACGUACAUGUAGCUUCUCUCAACACCAGGGGACUUGUUGCCAAUGCUGGUGUUGCAUUGGAUGUUUGCCGGUCUUCUGACAGCGUAAAUAGCGACAGAGCAUCUUCAGGCGAUCAAAGGCUGAUCUUGAGGCUGUAGACUGGCUGUGCCAAUCAGCUUGGUGAGAGAAAGACUCCUGAAUGUUGUGUAUCUACAGCUGUUCUUGGAAGUUGUUCACUGCCUGUCAUCUGUCCCUGUUUCCUGCCUGCUGUUUAUGUGCCUCUGCUGCUUCUGGUGGUGCAUCCUUCUAAAUUUCAGAACCAGGAGGAGGAGCCAGAGGGCAACUUUCCAGACGGGAGUAAGAAAGAUAAUUAGAAAUAGUUCUACUGGCUGUUGCUAUGACUGUGGUCGAAGCACUUUCACCAUGCUAAAUAAAGCUCCACAUGAGGAGAUGAGAAACACAGCAGGAGGCAAAUUGUGACCAAGAAUGAUAAACCGCCAAUCCUAAUCCCACUUUUUGGAUGGAGAAACAAAUCUUUAUCUGGCAUAAUUUAUGCUCUUUGACUGUGAUCUAUAAAUGUUAGGCUCUGACAGUCUGCCAGAACUUCUCUUGCAGCACCUACUGAUUGGAGUUUUUCUAAAGAAGCUUCACAAAAGCAGAAGCAGCAGAAGAUGGAGUCACCCUACAGGUGCACGCUGCAGCAAUUCUCCCUUUAGUCUUCCCAACAGGAUUUGUGAGACUCUGUACCUCAACAUCUUUAUUGGUAAUGGAUCCUUCCCUUAAUUUGCUGUGAUGCAUUUGGAAUGUCAGCUUCUAAAACAAGGCACAUGGGAGGCAUCUAAAGCAGAUUUUUUGAAAGGAAAAUGAACAAAGAGCAUGUCAGGUUCCAUUUUGAUUUGCAUGACAAAUCCAGCAUGCAGCAUUCGGGAUGGCUGGGCUGGGCUUGCCUGCCACUCACUGCAUUUGUCACUUUGGUUUGAACACUUUUGACAGUCUGUAAUGUUAAUUGUUCUAAGGAUUGUUUUGCUGGAAGAAGAAAAGGAAAGGAUUUGGGUUCUUGUUCUACUUUUUCCAUGUACAGGAAAGGAGGGAUAUCUGAGGAAGCAGAAAAUGUUUUCAAUCUGGCUUUGAUCUGUUUACAAGUAAUCCCGUGAGUUCAUCAGUAAGUUCAAUACUUUAAAUGUUAUUGUGUGCGUGUGUUUUGAGAGAGAAAUACUAGGCCCCUAAACUAGUAACCUGGGGAGUCUAUUGUUUUGGUGCACACCAUUCUUUCUUCCUUUAAGUCCCACAGAGAUGGGUCCUGCAGAGCGGUUUGUACUAUGCCUAUGUGCUUCUAUCAGAUGAUAUUGUGGUGCUUUGACAAGUGCUAAGAAGGAAUUUAAUGCCCUAAGAAGCACUGGUGGACACACAUUGUUACUGGUGUGUGGAUGGCAUGUGAAUAGCUCCCAAGUAUGUCAAAGACCUGUUGGUAGAUAAGAGCAUGUGACUGAAUUUUCCAGGAGACAGAAUCAGAGGUGGAGACUGUUGGUAUAAAAGUGUAACAUCUAUAUUAAAACAGCUGUGCAUUGAUCAGUGAUGUUUUUUCAAUUUCAAAGUUCCUAACUGUCUUGGCAAAGCACUGUAUGUUGAUCACAAAAAUGUUCUCAAACUAAUAAAACAAUCAGCUAUGAAGUUUCAG